UUCAACUCUAGGUGAUGACAUUUCCAUCCACGCUGACUUUGAGAACACAUGUUCCCGAAUCGUGGUCCCCAAAGCAGCUAUUGUGGCCCGGCACACUUACCUUGCCAAUGGCCAGACCAAAGUGCUCACUCAGAAGCUGUCCUCAGUCAGAGGCAAUCACAUUAUCUCAGGGACUUGCGCAUCAUGGCGUGGCAAGAGUCUCCGAGUGCAGAAGAUCAGACCGUCCAUUCUGGGCUGCAACAUCCUCAGAGUUGAAUACUCCUUGCUGGUGAGUGAGGAGGGAAGAGAAAUAGUUGCUUGGGUGCAAAGUCAGUGCCUCCUCUAACACAACCCAUCUAACAAACUCCCACCUUCCUUCCUAGAUCUAUGUUAGUGUCCCUGGCUCCAAGAAAGUCAUCCUCGAUCUGCCCCUAGUGAUUGGCAGCAGGUCGGGCCUAAGCAGCCGGACAUCCAGCAUGGCUAGCCGGACAAGCUCUGAAAUGAGCUGGAUAGACCUAAACAUCCCAGACACCCCAGAAGGUAAGCUUCAGCUAAUAAACUCUUCGUUUUGACCUGCUUGGGCUUGUGGAGUUGGGGUGGCCUGGGAGUUUCUUAGCUGGACUUCUGACCCCGUUUUCUCUUUUUCAGCUCCACCUUGCUAUAUGGACGUGAUUCCUGAAGAUCACAGACUGGAGAGCCCCACCACCCCCCUGCUAGAUGAUGUGGAUGAUUCUCAAGACAGCCCUAUCUUUAUGUACGCCCCCGAGUUCCAGUUCAUGCCUCCGCCCACUUACACUGAGGUGGAUCCCUGCGUC
rnacentral:lncRNA from 1 species